GCAAGUUAGUGAUAUUCAUUUUCUUUCGACUGUGCAAGUCUUUCCAUGCGAAUGUGUGCACGAAGGGGAGGCUAUUCUUAUUUCUCGGGUUUAAUGACAUCCGGUUUGUAAUGAGCACUGAUAAAAUCAUGUCUGGAGACAAACCAGCUGCAAGCAACCCACUAGAGCAAUUCCUCCUUUUAAUGAAAAAUGCAAGAGGAGCAGCAGCAGUGAGUGUGUUAACACAGGCACUGGAAGCACCAAAUGUUUAUGUUUUUGGAGAGCUGCUCGAUAUGCCUAAUGUUCAAGAGCUUGCAAAUGGUCAGCAUAGCCCAUACUUUAAUCUACUGAAUUUAUUUUCCUAUGGAACAGUUAAAGACUAUAGAGAGGAAAAAGCUAACUUGCCAGAAUUGACACCUGGACAGUUAAAAAAGCUGCGACAUCUUACAGUUGUUUCUUUGGCAACAAAAAGCAAGUGUAUUCCUUACUCCAUCCUUUUGGAAGAGCUGGACAUACAGAAUGUAAGGAACUUAGAGGACUUAAUUAUUGAGGUGAUCUAUGCUGACAUCAUCCAUGGCAAACUAGAUCAGAAGAACCAACAGCUGGAGGUGGACUAUGCUAUUGGCCGAGACAUCCGUCCUACAGCUAUUACACAAAUGAUUUCUGUACUACAGGAGUGGUGUUCAGGCUGUGAAGCAGUACUAAAGGGAAUUGAGGAUCAGAUUUUGAAGGCAAACUGCAGUCGUGAGUCACAGAAUCGCCUGAUAACACAGAUGGAAAGCGAGGUGGCAGCCAUAAAAAAGACAAUGAAAGCUACUCAUCAACAAGAUGAUGAGCACAUGGUUACAGACAGCCGCACUGACCUGCCUUCAACUGACAAGCCUAAGAAGUCUGCCAAAAACAAAGCGUAAAUAUUGGGUUAAUGCUGCUUUGUUUUUCAAAAUAUCACGAGCAUAGAAGACAGCAUGAAGCAUUUUUUACUGCGAGGGAGCUCAACAAAACUGUGGAAAUGACCAUGAAGCGGUAUCUACAUGAUAAGCAAAGAUAUUGCAGCAUUAGAGAUGAUACAUGAGACAACACAGACUCUUUUUAAGUUUGAUUUUAUAAAGAUGUUUGCAUUCGGAGGCAGACAUUGACAACAAAAUAUUUGUGUGGUGGUGAAGAGACUUAAAUACCCAGCAAACAAUACAUUUACAGAGGAAGCAGUGGACAUGCAUGGUAUCUGCUUUUGCUGAGUGACAUGGUGAAUGUUAUGAGUGUUCAUUGUAAAUUAAAUUUAAAUUCAAACUGUUUCAGAUAUGUUCUGUUGAAAUUCAUGCUAUGUGUACGUGAGUGCUUUUAAAGAAUUGGCAUUUAUCAGAGGGAUUCUUUUGGAGUUUGGGGCUGGUUAAUUCUUUAGAUUUGGUCUGGUAUAUGUACAUUCUGACUGUUGCAUCAAAAUGGAGUUACCAAAGGUCACAUGACUAUAUUGUGUUUAGCCUGCUACAGUUGGCAAACACUUCAGCAAAAUAUUGAGGUUAAUGGUAGUUUGUUUUACCAAGGAAGAUUAUCAAUGGUUAUUUGGUUCAGGAUUGCCAUCCUUUUCAUGUUUGCAGGCUUCUUACAGGUGUGACCAAACAAAAUUCCAGACUUUUAUCCCAAUCCCUUUUUCCACACUUUCUUGAAUCUCGGCAUCCACUGGUAACAUUAAUAUGCUACAUUACUGGUGUAUAUGUAUGUGGUGCUGAUUUGCAGUAAAGCUCCAAAACAAUGUAUAAA